rnacentral:rRNA from 1 species
GAUGAACGCUGGCGGCGUGCUUAGCACAUGCAAGUCGAACGGUGAAGCAGAGCUUGCUCUGUGGAUCAGUGGCGAACGGGUGAGUAACACGUGAGCAACCUGCCCCUGACUCUGGGAUAAGCGCUGGAAACGGCGUCUAAUACUGGAUAUGAGCUGCGACCGCAUGGUCAGCAGUUGGAAAGAUUUUUCGGUCUGGGAUGGGCUCACGGCCUAUCAGCUUGUUGGUGAGGUAAUGGCUCACCAAGGCGUCGACGGGUAGCCGGCCUGAGAGGGUGACCGGCCACACUGGGACUGAGACACGGCCCAGACUCCUACGGGAGGCAGCAGUGGGGAAUAUUGCACAAUGGGCGAAAGCCUGAUGCAGCAACGCCGCGUGAGGGAUGACGGCCUUCGGGUUGUAAACCUCUUUUAGCAGGGAAGAAGCGAAAGUGACGGUACCUGCAGAAAAAGCGCCGGCUAACUACGUGCCAGCAGCCGCGGUAAUACGUAGGGCGCAAGCGUUAUCCGGAAUUAUUGGGCGUAAAGAGCUCGUAGGCGGUUUGUCGCGUCUGCUGUGAAAUCCCGAGGCUCAACCUCGGGUCUGCAGUGGGUACGGGCAGACUAGAGUGCGGUAGGGGAGAUUGGAAUUCCUGGUGUAGCGGUGGAAUGCGCAGAUAUCAGGAGGAACACCGAUGGCGAAGGCAGAUCUCUGGGCCGUUACUGACGCUGAGGAGCGAAAGGGUGGGGAGCAAACAGGCUUAGAUACCCUGGUAGUCCACCCCGUAAACGUUGGGAACUAGUUGUGGGGUCCAUUCCACGGAUUCCGUGACGCAGCUAACGCAUUAAGUUCCCCGCCUGGGGAGUACGGCCGCAAGGCUAAAACUCAAAGGAAUUGACGGGGACCCGCACAAGCGGCGGAGCAUGCGGAUUAAUUCGAUGCAACGCGAAGAACCUUACCAAGGCUUGACAUAUACGAGAACGGGCCAGAAAUGGUCAACUCUUUGGACACUCGUAAACAGGUGGUGCAUGGUUGUCGUCAGCUCGUGUCGUGAGAUGUUGGGUUAAGUCCCGCAACGAGCGCAACCCUCGUUCUAUGUUGCCAGCACGUAAUGGUGGGAACUCAUGGGAUACUGCCGGGGUCAACUCGGAGGAAGGUGGGGAUGACGUCAAAUCAUCAUGCCCCUUAUGUCUUGGGCUUCACGCAUGCUACAAUGGCCGGUACAAAGGGCUGCAAUACCGCGAGGUGGAGCGAAUCCCAAAAAGCCGGUCCCAGUUCGGAUUGAGGUCUGCAACUCGACCUCAUGAAGUCGGAGUCGCUAGUAAUCGCAGAUCAGCAACGCUGCGGUGAAUACGUUCCCGGGUCU